rnacentral:rRNA from 1 species
GAUGAACGCUGGCGGCGUGCCUAAUACAUGCAAGUCGAGCGAAUGGAUUAAGAGCUUGCUCUUAUGAAGUUAGCGGCGGACGGGUGAGUAACACGUGGGUAACCUGCCCAUAAGACUGGGAUAACUCCGGGAAACCGGGGCUAAUACCGGAUAACAUUUUGAACCGAAUGGUUCGAAAUUGAAAGGCGGCUUCGGCUGUCACUUAUGGAUGGACCCGCGUCGCAUUAGCUAGUUGGUGAGGUAACGGCUCACCAAGGCAACGAUGCGUAGCCGACCUGAGGGGGUGAUCGGCCACACUGGGACUGAGACACGGCCCAGACUCCUACGGGAGGCAGCAGUAGGGAAUCUUCCGCAAUGGACGAAAGUCUGACGGAGCAACGCCGCGUGAGUGAUGAAGGCUUUCGGGUCGUAAAACUCUGUUGUUAGGGAAGAACAAGUGCUAGUUGAAUAAGCUGGCACCUUGACGGUACCUAACCAGAAAGCCACGACUAACUACGUGCCAGCAGCCGCAGUAA